GGAGGUUGAGGGUUGGGGGAGCACGUUUGGAUUUGGAGGAUUCAGUUCAGCUGCAUGUUAUGACACAUAAACUGUUAAGUCAAUACUGGUGUCUAGUGACAGCUGAAUACGACGUCGAUGCUGUGCUUGAUUCCAGUGGGAAUUACCUACCUCAAUGGGACUGAGAGAAAAUGGACUGAAUGGGACAUAUAUAUAUUUUGAUGAUGUUGAUCCUGCCGAUCCAAGAACAUGAUGAAACUACUCCAAGAUCCUAAUGAGAAUUCUAAGGGCACAGCAAGAGAGUACACUUACCCCGACUCAUGUCCCUGCUAAAUUCAAAUGUUGAAGACCUAAUCCCUAAUAAUGAUUUGGAGGUAGGGCCUUUGGCAAGGGAAGAACCUUCCGGAAUGGACUUGAGACACAGCAUUCUUUUUCUGUCUGAUCUGCUCUUCACUACAUGAGUGUUCCAAGAGGAGACGGCAGUCUGCAAGAACAGAG